CACCCUGAAAAGAUCUCCUAGUGCUCCACGAAUUUCCAUCUGAUCACAACACACAAGUUUCGUAAGCAAAGGAUAGAAGUCUCUCAAAUGUCUUCUGAAAAUCUUGUCGUUCAUAAAGCACAUGCUUUUAAGCACCUUGACAAUGAUUGGUGACCGUAACUCAAGAACUUGAUGAACAUCCAUGUUAGUAGUCUCCCCAACAGAGGACUGAAGAUCAGAUGCUUCCUUGAGCACCUGUUCACAGAAAGAGACUAAUUUCGCUUCUGCUAUUCCUUCAAGUUUCUCAUCCCCAGUGCCAUCUUCAGUGACAUUUGAAUUAUUUUGCGCUGGAGUAAUAUCAACAUCUUCAGAAACAUUAGAUUCCAUGAGUUGCCCCUUGUUGGCACAGAAACCUGAAGUUGUUUUCUGUAAUACAUCAAGAUAUAUGCUAGUUCCCGCUAAUUCUUGACGAAGAAGGUUUAGAGGCAGCCUCUCAACAGCAAUGUGGCGCAUUCGCAUUCUGAGGUUUGGAUAUGAAUUAUAUGAAGCAGCAAAC
rnacentral:misc_RNA from 1 species